ACGAACGUUGGCGGCGUGGAUUAGGCAUGCAAGUCGAACGAGAACCGCUGGGUAACUGGCGGGGAAAGUGGCGAAAGGGGCAGUAAGGCGUGGGUAACCUACCCUGCGGACCGGGAUAGCCUUCCUAACGGUUGGGUAAUACCGGGCGUGGUCGCGGGAUCGCAUGGUCCGGCGAUAAAACGAGUUUCGCCGCGGGAGGGGCUCACGUGGUAUUAGCUGGUUGGUAGGGUAACGGCCUACCAAGGCCAAGAUGCCUAGCAGGUGUGAGAGCACGACCUGCGCCACUGGCACUGAGACACUGGCCAGACUCCUACGGGAGGCUGCAGUCGAGGAUCUUCGGCAAUGGGCGCAAGCCUGACCGAGCGACGCCGCGUGUGCGAUGAAGGCCUUCGGGUUGUAAAGCACUGUCGAGGGGGAGGAAAGCCCGCAAGGGUCUGACCUAUCCCUGGAGGAAGCACGGGCUAAGUUCGU
rnacentral:rRNA from 1 species